rnacentral:rRNA from 1 species
CCUACGGGAGGCAGCAGUAGGGAAUAUUGCUCAAUGGGGGAAACACUGAAGCAGUAACGCCGCGUGGAGGAUGAAGGUUUUAGGAUUGUAAACUCCUUUUGUUAGAGAAGAUUAUGCCGGUAUCUAACGAAUAAGCACCGGCUAACUCCGUGCCAGCAGCCGCGGUAAUAAGGAGGGUGCAAGGGUUACUCGGAGUGACUGGGCGUAAAGAGUGAGUAGGCGGGGUAAUAAGUCAGAUGUGAAAUCCUGUAGCUUAACUACAGAACUGCAUUUGAAACUGGUACUCUGGAGUGUGGGAGAGGUAGGUGGAAUGCUCGGUGUAGGGGUAAAAUCCGUAGAGAUCAAGAGGAAUACUCAUUGCGAAGGCGACCUGCCGGAACAUUACUGACGCUGAGGCACGAAAGCGUGGGGAGCAAACAGGAUUAGAUACCCGAGUAGUC